GAAAGGCCCAUGUCGUCACCCGCACACCUGCACGACCUAACACGCUGGGUGCCCUCGGCGGCUCAACGCCAGGGCGCACGUCACCGGCGGGCGUCGCCCGGACGGCCUAGGGUUACAUCCAGCACGCUGCGCUCCAUAGAAUGAAGUAGCAAUUCUUUCAGCGAAAGAGAAGCACUGCAUAUUUGCAAGUGAAGCACAAAAGAUGGAAUGUUGGAAUUUGGAUGUACCACACUGUUGAGGGUUUGGGUAAGAAAAUGAGAGCAGAAUAAGGGGAACAAAAUAAGUGAUCCAUGGUGUUACAUCAAGUAUUUGUGAUACAGGUACGUGCUGAACUUAAAAUUCUCAUAUCAUGGAACACAUCAACUUUGGUAAUGUUGCUUUCUCUCCUUGAACAUCGGAUAAGAGGGUUGGUAACAAGUAUCUUAAAGCAUUGCAGUGGUGUAUUCCCUUCGCUGACAAGUGCGCUCUAGGUGGUGAUGGCCAUUCUAACAUGUCUUGAUCUGAUCUGCUUUUGGAAAAGAUGAGACCUGUACACGAUCCACGUGAAUGCAUCUUCCCAAGCUAAAGCUUCCAACCACGAUGGUUUCAUCUCUCAUUCAUGGACCGGGACUUAUCCGGCCUUGGUGUCUCCACACCAGCGCAACAAUGCUUGCUGCCUGCUGGCAAUGGAUUCUUCUCCUUGUCAUUGUCUUGCCCGUCGGCGCAUGGAUAUGGCAUCCGGUCCUGUGAGGUGAUUGGCAGAUUGGGUCACUUCAAACUUUGUAUCUACCCAUUGACUCGCGGAUAUACUUCAAAACUGACCAUCCGAGGAUCUUAUGCUAAAGGGAGAGAAGGUACUUGUCCAAUUGGCAUUGCGAAUUUGAUUCUUUUCUUCUUCCUCUCGAUCUUCCUCAUCCUGUCUUUCUCCUUGUUCUUUUCAGAAUCCUUAUCGUCACGUUUCAUCGUUUUUUCUUUUCCUGAGAACCUUAGCAGAUUUGGCUCCCACUAGUGGUCUGCACUUUUUUUUUUUUUUAGAAACACUAGUAGUCUAUACUUUGUAACUCUUUUUUUUUGUGUCACGGAGUAUGGAACGAAGUAUGAGAAAAUAUCAUAGAAACGGUUAGUUAGGGUAUUACCCUGCCUCCAAAAUACAAAGCAUCAGUAUCUCUGUGGAUGUUUGUGCAAAAUAUGAUUUACUUGACAUGAAUUUUGUUUCCCCAGUUGAUGGGUGUACACGACAAAUUAUGGCAAUUGCAGAAAUAUAUUUAUUUUGUUCA